GUUUACCUCGGUCUGUGGCGGCGGCGGCUGAGGGACGGACAGACCGACCCUGACCGACAGACCGAGCAGCCCGCCGGGGACAGCGGGAGACUGGCGGCGGGGGAAAGGGAGGGGCGGGCGUACCCCGUAGGGGCGCUGUGAGGCUCACCAUGUUCCUGCCAGCAAAGAGGUGUGGAAGGCCCACAGUGUUGGCUUUUCUGGAGAAGAAAAAGAGAAAGCAAAGUCUUGAUAGAAGACAGGGGAAAACAAGGAUUUAUGUGGGAAAUCACAUUGAUUUCCUACAUAAGGCUGACGCUUAAAGAAAAGCUGGAUUUCAGAAAUGAUGCAGAAGUUGCAGGUUUUUUACUGGACAUGUAUGAUAGCUAUGACCCGUUGUCUAAAGCUCCACACUGUCCCCUCUCUGAGGGUGUGAGAAGGAUAACUGGGAAUGAAGAAAGAGCAUUGUCAGCCAGCACUCCUUUAAUAGCAGCAGAUGGAACGUAUGACAAUGAUGACCAGCUGCCUAAAGAAUCUGCUUGUGGAUUUGGAGAUGUGAGAACUGCAACUGUGAAAGAGAAGCGAGAGAUACCAGGGGACUGCACUUUGACAAGGACAGAGGACACUAGGUGAACGAGUUGGGGUUCGGAAAGCAAUUCUAUGGCAGAGAAGAAUUCUUGGAAGCUGGAUCAGGAGAAAAUAAAUACCAGUGCUGAUGAAGCUGAAAAAUUCAAGUGCGUUCUUCAAAAUAGCAUUUUUCUCUGGCCCUAUAAUUUUGGUUUGGAGUGCAGCAGUAACUGAAUUCCUGGGACUGAUUUGAUACAGGGUGAGCAGCAUGAAGAAAAUCAAGCUCUUGCAUAACAAUACUGGGGCAAUUUUUACUCCAUUUUGAUUUUGCUGUGAGGUUAUUGUGAACUGUAAAGAAUUACUGUAAGCUGUGUGAAAUUCCAUGGUGUGUUGAGCAGCACAUUAAACUUAAUUACCUGAAGUUUUCUUGUGUUAUUUUAAUGUUAAUAAAGUGUGUGGAGUGGAUUAUUUCCCUGGGAGAGGCUGUACAGAGUUCUUUGUACAGCAGAGGGGCAGCAAAAAAGGACAAGCCAGAAUGCUCAUGGUACUGCUAAACUUAGUCAGAAUUUAAUAACUUUUUGUAGGUUAUCUUAAUGACUGAGUUCCUUACAUUUUAUUUAAAACUCAAAAGGGUUAAGAUAGAAAUAAUCUAAUGUCAGUUGCAGCAUUGUGUGCUUCCAUCUGAAUGUGUUUCUUGGAAUUCUCUUCUUUAGGAAACAAAUUUAACAUAUCUCAUAUAUUGGAAGGCAUUUCUGCAGUUGAUUGAUUCCCUGAAAAAUGAUGGGUAAAAAUGCUGGGCUGUAGAUUGCAUUGUGUUGGUGCCUUGGAAAAAUGAGUAAUUGAGAUCAGCUACUCAGGUGCUUAUCUAAAAUCUUUUGUGAUUGAAUAAUUUGAUAUCUUAUUUUGGCUUUUAAUAAUACAAAAUCUGAUGUACAUGAGCUGAUACAAGAUGCACUUUAAUAAUUUUCUUCUGUAACAGAGAUGAAGUAAGUGGAGUACUUUCAGUAACUGAAGUUCUACAGAACGGUGUUGGCGGUUCUGAAUCUGUUUUGUAGUUACCAAGUGUGAGUAAUCCUGGAAAGGUUUUGAACCGAGACGCUGAGCUUGGUACAGUGUUCAGGUUAUUCAGUGUACACUUGUCAGAAGAACAGAAACUUCCAGUUUUCUGAUUUUAACUUUUUUUUUUUUUCUUUAACCACACACUUGCGUAAGCUUUCAGGUCUUGAUCUUACAGUAUUGAAGCCAGCUGGGCUUUCCCACCAACUUACACUAGAACAGCCUUUCAGUGGGGAGAAAUUCCCCUAAUUAGAUCAUUAUAUUUGGCAUUCCAUUUUUCAAAUGAGCUACUUCACUGGCUGUAAGAAACCGCUCUUGCUCUUAAAUAUUAUCUUGAUGCUUUUGAAAUAUCUGAAUUCAGUGUUGCUUUAUGAACAAUAGAUUUUUCUCUAAAUUCUGCACAGAUCUUUAAAAACAAAAAGUUGGGAAGGCAGUUUUUCAAGACUGUCAAGAUGAAAAUGCCACUUUCUCUGUAUUUGUGUUCCCUCUUUGUUCUGUAGCUUUCAGAUUUUUCUUUGACUACCAAACACUGAUUCAUGUAAAUAACUCAGUUUGGCUCAUGGAAGACGUGUGUCUGGUGACACUCUGAGUGAAGUGUCUUCCAGUGCUCUCAGAUUUUCAAUUCUUGGUGUCAUUACAGUGAGAAGGGAAGAGGACUCAGCCUUCCAUUAUGUUUUCCUCCAAAGUCUUCCAAGAUCCAAAGAAUCCACAACUGUGCCAUGUUCUCAGCCAGUUCAACCUCGUUCUUGUGCCUUUUUAAAUGCACCCUGCAAAUAUUUCUCUUAUUUAACACCAUACUGUUACACAAGUGGAAUAAUACUGCCAGUGCCUGUUCUCUUGACUUGCACUCACUGUGUAAAUUACUGGUAGAAGGAUUAUUCUUGUUCAUAGUACUGGAGUGUAGUACCAUUAAUCCCUUACUAAGGCUUCCCCCAAACUUCCCAUUACACUGGAACUUCAUGCUGAAGAAAAAUCUAGAGAAUGUAGACUUCUAAACAUUUCCUUUUUAAUAUAGUGUGACAGAUGAUAUAUUUGGGUUGCUAUAUGAGCAUAUACUUUUGAACAUCUGACUUCUGUAGAGCAGAAUAUUAUCAUAGUUAUUUUCCAGUAAAGUUAGCAGAAUGGUGAAUGGAAAUGAUUCUGAAACAAGAUUUUUUCUUCUGAUGGAUGUGCAGUGGCUCUGCUUUAGUCAAAAUGGCUAAAUAAGGCUUUCUUCUCCUGUAGGUCUGUGGGAAUUGUGGAAUUUGACUUGUUCAGAUGUCAGAACUAAACCCAUAAGAAUUACUUACCCUCUUACUCCAAUGAUAGAGCAAAAAUGUACAUUUAGGAGAAUUACUUUAAACAGAAUAAUAAGUUACGCUGUUGGUAAUACUGAAUACUUAGGGCAUAAACCUAUCAUGUUGAACAAGAAAAUUUUCUGUAAGAUUUAUAGUGAAAGGCAAAUAGUAGCUAUAAAAACACCAAAUUUUGGUUUUGUUUUGUGUUUGUAAAGUGGAUUUAGUGUGCCAAUUGAUUUCCUUAGAACUGUGGAUCAAAUCUUUUGCAGUGACAGUAUUUACAUACAUAAACUGGGAACCUUCUCACAAAUGAGGGCUGUUUGGUGUUGAACUUAGAUUUCAAACUAUUUGUUAAAGAAUUGAAGUUACAAUGCAGUGAUUUUCAUAGUACUAACCUAAUGUUCUAUUACUUUGCCUUCACAAGAAGCUAUUUUCUAAAAUCCCAAUGCCUACAACUGUGCUCAUAGGUCACAUAAUGUAGUAUCACCUGAAAACUUUGUGUGUCUUGCUUGGGAAAGGUAGUCUGGCCUAUAUUGUGAUUUACUUUUGUAGCAAAAAAACACUACAAAACAGGAGGAAAAAUUGCUAAAAUAGCUCUUGCAGAUUUCUUGGUGAAAUAAGGAGUUUUGCAGAUCAUCACAGACGCACACCAGAGGGGAGUAGAACUGAGGUGAGAUACUGGAAUAGGGUACUUAAAGAAACAGUGUUUCAAUGCCCUGUUUUCUUCCCUUUUGAAAUUGCUGUUUAAUUCUGACACUUUUUUUACUCUCAAUACUUAGUCUGUAAAGCAAAGUCUGUAAAGCUUGAUAAGACAGUCAAGAGGAAUGCUGCACUGAGGCACAUUAUUUAAGAAUAUAACAGGGAUGCAGGAAUAUGGUUUUAUUCUGAAUUCUUCAGGCUUAGUAGAUCAUCAUGGGUUUAAUUUUGUAAAAUUGAAAUAUUAAAUAUGACUUUUAUAAGCCAUGAUCAUUUGUGUGAUUUAAUAGGAUGAAAUACUAUCAUCAGUGUGAUGAUGCUUGUUAUUACUUUGGCAAGAGGCUUUCAUGUCUUGUGUCUGUUAGUGAGAAGUCUUUUGGGCUUUUAAAUCAUGACACCCCAAACAAGUUUCAGCUGUGUGUCAUGUUAAGUGUUCUCAUGAGUCACUGCUCAGAAUACUGAUCAGUGGAUAGCAGGAAGGGGAAUGCAUCAAAGGAGGAAUUCCAGAGGUAGGAGAAGUGGAGUUUCAGUUUGAGAUGUGUAAAUGAAAUGUGGGUCAGAGAGGAAUGGUGAACCUGAGUGCUGCUUGUGGUUUGAGAGGCCUGUGCCAGGACAAGCCUGCUUCCUCUCUUUCCCCUGUCUCAGCAGAAGUGAUUAAUUUAAUUUAUAAUUCCAGAGAGAUUCCUCACCACUACAACACUCAGAGGCCUAGCAAUGAGGAUUGUGGUUUCACAAUGCUCAGGAUUCAACAGAUAAACUGGACACUUCUGAGAUCAGGUAGAGCUGAUGAGUGUGAGAAGUUACACCUUCACCACCUCACUUAGGUCAUAGAGCAAUACUUCUUUCUGUAGUUCUUGUGCAUAAAUGUAAAGCUGACUUGUAUUUAAGAUUCCAAGAUCAGUCUGCUCUGCUCAGUGCUGUGUGUAGUCACGCUCUGUAUGCAGUGUUUGGUGGAGCUGUAUCCAAAGCCUGCCCAAGGUAUCUGGAAACAGAGAGGGCAAGAGUCUGUGUGUGUGUGUGUACACAAACAGCCCCUCCCUCCAGUUUGUUUUAUGAAAUCUUUAACAUGGAUUGAAAGGGACCUCUGAAGGUUAUCUCAUCUACCCUGCUUCCAAGCAGGGCUGACUUCAGGUUUGGAUCAAUUUACUCAGACCCUUGGCCUCCUGAGAACUUGGGUAUUUUAUAGAAUUUUGUAAUGCUGUUUCAUAAAACAUAGGAUCCAGAAUGGUUUCAGCUUGCAUGGCUGUUUUCCAUUUUUAUUUUUUUACUCUUAUUGUAGUAGUCAAAGUCUUGAUCCAUGGCUUUUAAGAUACGUGACCUGUCAGUAUGGGAACCCUUAAAAUACAUUAAUGGGAGCAACUUAAUACAGCUACAGACAAUAUUUGAUUUGAAUGGCUUUGUCUGUGAUAGGUAACUCUGUGUGCACGUGGAGAUGUUUUAAGAUGUAUCAAAGAUCUUUCUUUCUCUGGCCUUAGGAGAGGAUAUGGUCUGAAGUGAGAUAACCACAGACACUGUGUUAAGUAAUCUUUUUUAUGUGAUUACUAUUGUGUAUUUGUAAAUAUCUCCUAUCCAUAGUAGCAAAAAUACUUUGGUGAAGGUGUAUGCAGUAAAGAGAGACAGUACAAAAUCAGGGUCUCUUGUAUGGACAUAUGUUGCUAUUUAACUUCAUUACAUUGGUCCUUUGGCUUCAGUCAGCUUAAGUGACAAACUGCAUAUGCUUUCCUAAAAAAAUGUUUGGGUUAGAUAUUUUAAAUAUAACUAAAGAAGUAAUUGUUUUUCAAGAUAGGCUAUUCUUUUCUGAAGUUAGUGUGUAUUCCUAUUCUUCAUCUCCACAUACGUGGAAUAUCUGUUAAAUCUCAUCCUUGCUUUUCCUGGUUCUCUGCACAGAUUUCUUUCCCCUCCUGUAUGCUCCUUCUUGGUUGAUCAGUCUUGGUGUAGACAUCAGGAGACAUUUCAGCAGAAGAAUUUCAUCCGUGUUUGUAAGCUUUGUUUAAAUAAUCAUUUCAAAUCAGGUUUUGACAUGACCUAUUUUUCAAAUGAAUACAGUAACACUAGCACAAGAAGUGCUAUCUUCAGUGGAAACAAAUAAAAUCCUAUUGUAGUAGGAUUUUUUGGAAUUUAAAAAAUCCAUCAUGGGAUAAACUCGACCUGGCUUUGAGUAUGGUACAAUAGUGUUUAGCUUGUGAUUCAGCUGUUGAUCUGGUGUGACUUAAAGUGACUCUCUACAGAGCAGCUCUGAUAAUUCUUGUGCUGGUUUAAAUCCCAAAUUAGAUAAAAGUACUUGGGGAUAAUAGACUGCAACAUAUUUAAUAUAUCCCAGUGACUUGUCUUUUCUUUUCCAGGAGGGCAGAUGAAAGUGCAGGUUGCAGUAGAUAAUUCUCAUAGGUGAAAAUUAUUGUUGUCUGUAACAUCCUGAUUCAGUGUGUUGUGUGGGCUUGCAGAUAUGAACUUGGGACAGCUUCCAAAAGCCAUAGCCAGAAGAGGAUCUCUGAUGGAAGUCUAGAAAUGCUCUAGUGAAUAAUGUGCACAGUGUUCCUGUCAGACCCCAUUCCAAGGCUGUGCAGGGCUGCCAGGCUAUCCAGGGUAACAGUGGCUCUGGGGUGGAAUGGGAGCUUGGGCUCGUGUUCCACCUUCCACAGCUGCUGCUGCUGCUCUCUCCUCUUCCUUUUCUAGUCUUCCCACAGCCUCUGACUCACUUUGUGAGUCCAUGUGAUAACCUGGAGACGGAGCUCACCUAAAUACACCCUCAGAAGGGUGGUAUCUUUGAUUGGGUUUUUUAUUCCUGUCAUUUCUUUCAUGUGGUUUGUUCUCAGUCACAUCAGGGAGGUGCUGGGAGGCUGGGAGCCAGUGACAAACCAGGAAAUGACACUACCACUGCAAGCUUGGGAUUCGACUGUGGGCUAAACAUUGAUCUGUGAUGUGAAACACCUUUUCACUUUGUCAUCAAGCAUACACAGAGGAAAAAGCUGAUCCAGCUAUUCAGAUUAUUAUGUCAAGUUAUUCUGGGAUCUUAGGCAAAUAAUACUUAUUUUUGGUGACAAAUAUAAAACCUAUUGAUCAUUAGAUAUAGGAUAUCAGGGGUUUAGCUUAAAAUUGGGCUUCCAGAAUGCUGAUUUUAAGAACUUUUUUCUUCAUUUGCCUAUUCUGCUUCAUGCAUUCCUAAUAAAAAAAAAAACCAACAAACAGGUGUUAAGAGGGAAAAAAUAAGUUUGUGAGGAUACUUAGUAGAUGUUUUAAAUUAUCUUCUUUCAAAUUUUGAUUACUCUGAUAUCAGAUCUUUGCGGUGUAAAAUGGCAAAGGUGAGUUCCAGACUGCAGGGCAGUAUUGACGUAUUUAAUGGUGAGGUGACACCAGGUGUUCCCAAAGAGGGCAAGUUUUUAAAAUUCUGUAUUGGGAACUGGAAGAAGAUUGGAAGAAAAAAAUAUUAUUAGAUACAAAAAUGGAUGUCCAGUGAUCCUCUCUCCUUUUCUGCUUGCAUCCAUGCUAAUCUUGGUUUAUUCAGUUACAGCUGCUCUGAUGAUGUUUUUCUUCCCCUAUUGUGUACUAAAACCCUGCCUCUGCAAUUACUGCAACUCUUUUAUUGGGGAAAAAUAGCCUUUCAGUCUUUUCUUAAAAAGAAAGAAAAUUGAUGGAGUGAGAUUUUCAGCUGCAUUUACAUGUUUGGGUUUGUUUAAAGACUGAACAGAAUCCCAGGUGUCUGAUUUUCAAAAAAAGUUGAUAAACUGAAUGAAAAAUGUUAUCUGUGGAAGAAAUUGAAGACUGUUACUGGUAUUAAUUACAGAAAGCAUGUUCUUA